ACGAACGCUGGCGGCGUGCUUAACACAUGCAAGUCGAACGGAAAGGCCCUGCUUUUGUGGGGUGCUCGAGUGGCGAACGGGUGAGUAACACGUGAGUAACCUGCCCUAGACUUUGGGAUAACUUCAGGAAACUGGGGCUAAUACCGGAUAGGAGCUCCUGCUGCAUGGUGGGGGUUGGAAAGUUUCGGCGGUUGGGGAUGGACUCGCGGCUUAUCAGCUUGUUGGUGGGGUAGUGGCUUACCAAGGCUUUGACGGGUAGCCGGCCUGAGAGGGUGACCGGCUACAUUGGGACUGAGAUACGGCCCAGACUCCUACGGGAGGCAGCAGUGGGGAAUAUUGCACAAUGGGCGGAAGCCUGAUGCAGCAACGCCGCGUGCGGGAUGACGGCCUUCGGGUUGUAAACCGCUUUCGCCUGUGACGAAGCGUGAGUGACGGUAAUGGGUAAAGAAGCACCGGCUAACUACGUG
rnacentral:rRNA from 1 species